rnacentral:rRNA from 1 species
GAUGAACGCUGACAGAAUGCUUAACACAUGCCAGUCUUUGGCGAAGCUGUGCUCGCACAGCCUAGCCAAGGCGGACGGGUGAGUAACGCGUAAGGAACUUGCCCUGCAGUCAGGGAUAACAGACGGAAACGACUGAUAAGACCUGGUAAAGUCAGGCGGACUCAUGUCCAGCCUGAUGAAAAGAGAUGCUGCAGGAGAGCCUUGCGUCCUAUUAGCUUGUUGGUGGGGUAACGGCCCACCAAGGCGAUGAUAGGUAGCCGGCCUGAGAGGGUGGACGGCCACAAGGGGACUGAGAUACGGCCCUUACUCCUACGGGAGGCAGCAGUGGGGAAUAUUGGACAAUGGGGGCAACCCUGAUCCAGCAAUUCUGUGUGCACGAUGAAGGUUUUCGGAUUGUAAAGUGCUUUCAGCAGGGAAGAAAAAAAUGACGGUACCUGCAGAAGAAGCGACGGCUAAAUACGUG